GAUCAACGCUGGCGGCGUGCCUAAUGCAUGCAAGUCGCACGGGCUGCCUUCGGGUAGUCAGUGGCGAACGGCUGAGGAACACGUACGAAUCUGCCCUCCGGUGGGGAAUAACGCACCGAAAGGUGUGCUAAUACCGCGUACGCGCGCAAGCGGAAAGCCGCGAGGCGCCGGGGGAGGAGCGUGCGGCCCAUCAGAUGGUUGGGCGGGGUAAGUGGCCCACCAAGUCGGUGACGGGUCGCUGGUCUGUGAGGACGAUCAGCCAGACUGGGACUGCGACACGGCCCAGACACCUACGGGUGGCAGCAGCAAGGGAUCUUCGGCACUGGGCGCAAGCCUGACCGAGCAACGCCGCGUGCAGGAUGAC
rnacentral:rRNA from 1 species